UACGUAGGGUGUGAGCGUUGUCCGGAAUUAUUGGGCGUAAAGAGCUUGUAGGCGGUCUGUCGCGUCUGCUGUGAAAAUCCGGGGCUCAACCCCGGACUUGCAGUGGGUACGGGCAGACUAGAGUGUGGUAGGGGAGACUGGAAUUCCUGGUGUAGCGGUGAAAUGCGCAGAUAUCAGGGAGGGAACACCCGGGUGGGCGA
rnacentral:rRNA from 1 species